rnacentral:rRNA from 1 species
UACGGAGGGUGCAAGCGUUAAUCGGAAUUACUGGGCGUAAAGCGUGCGCAGGCGGCUUGUUAAGUCCGCUGUGAAAUCCCCGAGCUCAACUUGGGAAUUGCAGUGGAUACUGGCAAGCUGGAGUACGGUAGGGGCAGAGGGAAUUUCCGGUGGAGCGGUGAAAUGCGUAGAGAUCGGAAAGAACACCAACGGCGAAAGCGCGCUGCUGGGCCGACACUGACACUGAGAGACGAAAGCUAGGGGAGCGAAUGGG